rnacentral:lncRNA from 1 species
AUGAGUAGUCAUAAUAUGAGAAGCCCAAGCCACAUGGGGAGACCACAUGGAGAACUAACUUGCCUCUGUCAAUCCCAUAUGAUCUCCCUGCCAAGUGCCAGCAUCAAAUGCCAACCAUGAUUGUUUUAAGUCCUCAUUGGGCAUUUUAAGUUCUGUUUGAAAGAGCUGCAUCACAAUUCUUAUAAAGGACUUGUUGAAUCAUAAGCUGUUUCCUUAAGCACCAGUUAUGUGGGGGACCUUGUGCCAGGCACUGGGCCACAUAAAUGAGAAUCACAAGGACCAGGAUUAAGAAAAGACAGGUCAGGCUCCAGUGUGACUCAGCACAGUGUUCACAGCCCAUGCUCUCAAGAAUCUCAGCUUAGGAGGAGGCAAAGAGGUAAAGCACAGGUCAACAUGCAGUGUUGGACUACAUAGAAAGUACAUAUCCUUCAUUAGUGCUGGCAAGACAGAUGAAUUAAUGCCUUUCAGGGGACUUCCCUAUUUGUUUAAUAUCUAACUAGCCCUAAGGUUAAUAUUCAAAAUUAUUGAUAAAAUGCAUUAGGAGAUCUGAUGAUAGAUGUCUUAAGAAGAAGAUCAGAGUUUCGGAAGGACAUUCUCACACAGAUCUCAGUUUACCUCUUAUUCCAGAGGGCAUAAAUAUGCAAUGGCACUAUUCAUAAACUCAACCAAUGGCACAAUCAUUUUAAUACUGACAUGCUUCAGUACAAAUAAAUAUAAUUCAGAGAAAAUCUUCCAUGAAUAUUCCUUACGGAGCUGGAAAAAACGUUAUCUGAAGCAAGAUGUUACUAUGGGAGGAUUAUAUUACGUGCACUGUGUUUUGGCAAUGCUUUGGGAUACAGUCAUUAAAUAGGUUGGCUGAAAAUUCAUUUUACUGGUUAAUUAAAUCCAAGAGUUUGCAAGAAACGCUCUACAGUAAGGUAAAUAAGUCAUUUAGUCAGGAACUCUGCACAUUUACCUCUGCAUUUAUCAAAUAUUUGUUGAAGGAAAUAAUAAAAGAAGUGAGGAGGAAGAAGAGGUUUCCUGGGAGAAAGCACUCGAGGAGCAAUAGGUGUCCUCUUUCAUUUCCACUAAAUAUGCUGCUCAAUGCCUUGUGGCAUAACAGAAUCAAAACUUUUCAGAUGCCCUGCCGCUUUAACAAGACCCAGGAUAUGUCAAAAUGGCUCCCACAGAACUUUCAUUUGAUCUUAUCUUUCGCUGUCACACACAUCGACCUGCAUUUUCUUUUUUCUUUUUGAUUCUUUAUGUCUGCAAAUGAACUGAUGUAAUUAAAAAGGUGAAGAAAUAACUUUUUUUAAUGUGUGAGAUUGGAAGAAAUCUUGUGAGUAAUCAUGAAUUUUAGGAAUCCCAGAAGGGAGCAAAGAAGAUUCUGAAAAAAAGAGAAAUACUUCUCUGAGUUGGAAAUUGGUUAAAUUUAGUGAUGUUUGAGCCUCAGCUUACAUUGGAAAUUUCAGAGCAAGAUAGAAGAGGAGUACAUCUCAAAUGCUUUGUAUAAAUGGUUCUCCAAUUUUGCAGAUGGAAUUUUAUCCAAUAUUCAGAUGUAUAAUCUGCUUCAAGUAUGUACACAGGGGAAGUAAUAAGAGUACUGUGAAUUCUCAACUGACCAUUUUCUGACACAUUAAAGAAAUAGCAAAGGUGAGGACACUCCUUUCCUCUGGGCAUAGGGAGGAAUGCUCUGGAAUGAGUUUUAUGAGCAACUUCCAGGGGAAGGUCAGCUAGGACUUAUGACACACUUCAGGGAAGAAGGGGUCUCAGAGAGAUCUUCCUGCCUCUGCUAUUUUCUCAGAUGCCAAGGU